AGCAGCCGCGGUAAUACAGAGGGUGCGAGCGUUAAUCGGAUUUACUGGGCGUAAAGCGUGCGUAGGCGGCUUCUUAAGUCGGAUGUGAAAUCCCUGAGCUUAACUUAGGAAUUGCAUUCGAUACUGGGAAGCUAGAGUAUGGGAGAGGAUGGUAGAAUUCCAGGUGUAGCGGUGAAAUGCGUAGAGAUCUGGAGGAAUACCGAUGGCGAAGGCAGCCAUCUGGCCUAAUACUGACGCUGAGGUACGAAAGCAUGGGGAGCAAACAGGAUUAGAUACCCGUGUAGUCCCUGUCUCUUAUACA
rnacentral:rRNA from 1 species